rnacentral:tRNA from 1 species
GGAGAGGUGGCCGAGUGGUUGAAGGCAACAGUUUACUAAACUGUCGUCCGCGCAAGCGGAUCUAGGGUUCGAAUCCCUAUCUCUCCGCCA